AUAUAAAAAAAUCAGAUUUUAUAAUAAAAUCAAAUUUUAUAAUAAAUUCAGAUUUUAUAACAAAUUCAGAUUUUGUAAUAAAAUCAGAUUUUAUAAUAAAUUCAGAUUUUUGAAAAUCAAAUUUUGUAUAAUAAAAUCAGAUUUUAUAAUAAAUUCAGAUUUUGUAGUAUUCUAGAGCUUUGGAUAGGAUUGGCUUCAGUGUUAGUGACUGGUCGACACAUCUGGAGAGUGCCGGACUGAGUCGGAGUCAUUUCUGCGCGAAAUGGGU
rnacentral:lncRNA from 1 species